GUCUACGGCCAUACCACCCUGAACGCGCCCGAUCUCAUCUGAUCUCAGAAGGAAGGUUUCGUCUAACAGUUAUAAACUGAAAACC
rnacentral:rRNA from 1 species